rnacentral:rRNA from 1 species
UACGUAGGGCGCAAGCGUUGUCCGGAAUUAUUGGGCGUAAAGAGCUCGUAGGCGGUGUGUUGCGUCGGCUGUGAAAACCUGCAGCUUAACUGUGGGCUUGCGGUCGAUACGGGCAUCACUGGAGUUCGGCAGGGGAGACUGGAAUUCCUGGUGUAGCGGUGAAAUGCGCAGAUAUCAGGAGGAACACCGGUGGCGAAGGCGGGUCUCUGGGCCGAUACUGACGCUGAGGAGCGAAAGCGUGGGGAGCGAACAGG